GGAGAAUGUAAUUGAGAUCUUUCCACUGUUUCAUUGUCCUCUGCAGCCCAUUGAUAGGGCCCACAUCUGGUACUACCAGCUGAAGUUGGGCUUCUACGUCUCUCUGCUUCUCCUUGUCUCUGUGGACGUCGAGGAAAGAUUUCAAAGAGCAGGUGAUUCCCCACAUUACCACAAUCGUCCUGCUUGGUUUCUCCUACUGUUCCAACUAGAAUAAUCCACACAACCCUUAUGCUGUCCAUGGAAGUAUUUGAACCCUUCACUAGCUACAAUUAUUUCAAUGUUCUUCUGAUGGUGCUACAAGCACUUCAUGUCUUCUGGGCUGUGUUAAUCCUACAGAUGGCCUACAGGUUUCUCUUCUUGAGCAAGCUGGGAUAAAGAUGAACUCAGUGAUGAAGAGGGAGACGGGGAGGAGGAAGACGAGGAGAAGGAGUAAUGUUGGGAGAGAAGUAAAGAUGGUGUAAACGCCAAACUGAAAAUGCUGACCAAUAGCUGUGUCUUAAAACAACCUAACAAAUCACAGAGCUGCUGUUGUGAGAAAGAUACGCAAUGCGCAGUAGAACUGUGAACCUAGACAGAGUUCAACAAAGAUUAAAGGCUUUAAAUACGGGACAGAGUUAACCAUAACCAUCUAAGCACAAUACAGCUGUAACUCCACUCACAUAUGCCCAUUCAUUGUCCUACUGUAUAAAAUGUGAAUAGGAAGUACCCUAUGUAUUUUUAUCAUUUCAAAUACAUCUUUUCCUCCAUCUAUGGGUUCCUUGGCCACUAUUCCUCUCAGCAUAGUCAACUCGAUAACAAUGGGCCUGC
ensembl:lncRNA